rnacentral:pre_miRNA from 1 species
AGGAGGUGGUCGAGGGAAUCUGAGAAGACGCACAAGGUUUGUGUCCAAUACAGUCCACACCUUGCGCUACUCAGGUCUGCUCGUGCCCUCCC